rnacentral:rRNA from 1 species
UGGGGAAUUUUGGACAAUGGGCGAAAGCCUGAUCCAGCAAUGCCGCGUGUGUGAAGAAGGCCUUCGGGUUGUAAAGCACUUUUGUCCGGAAAGAAAUCCUUGGCUCUAAUACAGUCGGGGGAUGACGGUACCGGAAGAAUAAGCACCGGCUAACUACGUGCCAGCAGCCGCGGUAAUACGUAGGGUGCAAGCGUUAAUCGGAAUUACUGGGCGUAAAGCGUGCGCAGGCGGUUUGCUAAGACCGAUGUGAAAUCCCCGGGCUCAACCUGGGAACUGCAUUGGUGACUGGCAGGCUAGAGUAUGGCAGAGGGGGGUAGAAUUCCACGUNUAGCAGUGAAAUGCGUAGAGAUGUGGAGGAAUACCGAUGGCGAAGGCAGCCCCCUGGGCCAAUACUGACGCUCAUGCACGAAAGCGUGGGGAGCAAACAGGAUUAGAUACCCUGGUAGUCCACGCCCUAAACGAUGUCAACUAGUUGUUGGGGAUUCAUUUCCUUAGUAACGUAGCUAACGCGUGAAGUUGACCGCCUGGGGAGUACGGUCGCAAGAUUAAAACUCAAAGGAAUUGACGGGGUCAUAGCUGUUUCC